rnacentral:rRNA from 1 species
GGGUUGUGAGGUUAAGCGACUAAGCGUACACGGUGGAUGCCCUGGCAGUCAGAGGCGAUGAAGGACGUGCUAAUCUGCGAUAAGCGUCGGUAAGGUGAUAUGAACCGUUAUAACCGGCGAUUUCCGAAUGGGGAAACCCAGUGUGUUUCGACACACUAUCAUUAACUGAAUCCAUAGGUUAAUGAGGCGAACCGGGGGAACUGAAACAUCUAAGUACCCCGAGGAAAAGAAAUCAACCGAGAUUCCCCCAGUAGCGGCGAGCGAACGGGGAGCAGCCCAGAGCCUGAAUCAGUAUGUGUGUUAGUGGAAGCGUCUGGAAAGGCGCGCGAUACAGGGUGACAGCCCCGUACACAAAAAUGCACAUGCUGUGAGCUCGAUGAGUAGGGCGGGACACGUGGUAUCCUGUCUGAAUAUGGGGGGACCAUCCUCCAAGGCUAAAUACUCCUGACUGACCGAUAGUGAACCAGUACCGUGAGGGAAAGGCGAAAAGAACCCCGGCGAGGGGAGUGAAAAAGAACCUGAAACCGUGUACGUACAAGCAGUGGGAGCACAGAGCAAUCUGUGUGACUGCGUACCUUUUGUAUAAUGGGUCAGCGACUUAUAUUCUGUAGCAAGGUUAACCGAAUAGGGGAGCCGAAGGGAAACCGAGUCUUAACUGGGCGUUAAGUUGCAGGGUAUAGACCCGAAACCCGGUGAUCUAGCCAUGGGCAGGUUGAAGGUUGGGUAACACUAACUGGAGGACCGAACCGACUAAUGUUGAAAAAUUAGCGGAUGACUUGUGGCUGGGGGUGAAAGGCCAAUCAAACCGGGAGAUAGCUGGUUCUCCCCGAAAGCUAUUUAGGUAGCGCCUCGUGAAUUCAUCUCCGGGGGUAGAGCACUGUUUCGGCAAGGGGGUCAUCCCGACUUACCAACCCGAUGCAAACUGCGAAUACCGGAGAAUGUUAUCACGGGAGACACACGGCGGGUGCUAACGUCCGUCGUGAAGAGGGAAACAACCCAGACCGCCAGCUAAGGUCCCAAAGUCAUGGUUAAGUGGGAAACGAUGUGGGAAGGCCCAGACAGCCAGGAUGUUGGCUUAGAAGCAGCCAUCAUUUAAAGAAAGCGUAAUAGCUCACUGGUCGAGUCGGCCUGCGCGGAAGAUGUAACGGGGCUAAACCAUGCACCGAAGCUGCGGCAGCGACGCUUAUGCGUUGUUGGGUAGGGGAGCGUUCUGUAAGCCUGUGAAGGUGUGCUGUGAGGCAUGCUGGAGGUAUCAGAAGUGCGAAUGCUGACAUAAGUAACGAUAAAGCGGGUGAAAAGCCCGCUCGCCGGAAGACCAAGGGUUCCUGUCCAACGUUAAUCGGGGCAGGGUGAGUCGACCCCUAAGGCGAGGCCGAAAGGCGUAGUCGAUGGGAAACAGGUUAAUAUUCCUGUACUUGGUGUUACUGCGAAGGGGGGACGGAGAAGGCUAUGUUGGCCGGGCGACGGUUGUCCCGGUUUAAGCGUGUAGGCUGGUUUUCCAGGCAAAUCCGGAAAAUCAAGGCUGAGGCGUGAUGACGAGGCACUACGGUGCUGAAGCAACAAAUGCCCUGCUUCCAGGAAAAGCCUCUAAGCAUCAGGUAACAUCAAAUCGUACCCCAAACCGACACAGGUGGUCAGGUAGAGAAUACCAAGGCGCUUGAGAGAACUCGGGUGAAGGAACUAGGCAAAAUGGUGCCGUAACUUCGGGAGAAGGCACGCUGAUAUGUAGGUGAAGUCCCUCGCGGAUGGAGCUGAAAUCAGUCGAAGAUACCAGCUGGCUGCAACUGUUUAUUAAAAACACAGCACUGUGCAAACACGAAAGUGGACGUAUACGGUGUGACGCCUGCCCGGUGCCGGAAGGUUAAUUGAUGGGGUUAGCGCAAGCGAAGCUCUUGAUCGAAGCCCCGGUAAACGGCGGCCGUAACUAUAACGGUCCUAAGGUAGCGAAAUUCCUUGUCGGGUAAGUUCCGACCUGCACGAAUGGCGUAAUGAUGGCCAGGCUGUCUCCACCCGAGACUCAGUGAAAUUGAACUCGCUGUGAAGAUGCAGUGUACCCGCGGCAAGACGGAAAGACCCCGUGAACCUUUACUAUAGCUUGACACUGAACAUUGAGCCUUGAUGUGUAGGAUAGGUGGGAGGCUUUGAAGUGUGGACGCCAGUCUGCAUGGAGCCGACCUUGAAAUACCACCCUUUAAUGUUUGAUGUUCUAACGUUGACCCGUAAUCCGGGUUGCGGACAGUGUCUGGUGGGUAGUUUGACUGGGGCGGUCUCCUCCUAAAGAGUAACGGAGGAGCACGAAGGUUGGCUAAUCCUGGUCGGACAUCAGGAGGUUAGUGCAAUGGCAUAAGCCAGCUUGACUGCGAGCGUGACGGCGCGAGCAGGUGCGAAAGCAGGUCAUAGUGAUCCGGUGGUUCUGAAUGGAAGGGCCAUCGCUCAACGGAUAAAAGGUACUCCGGGGAUAACAGGCUGAUACCGCCCAAGAGUUCAUAUCGACGGCGGUGUUUGGCACCUCGAUGUCGGCUCAUCACAUCCUGGGGCUGAAGUAGGUCCCAAGGGUAUGGCUGUUCGCCAUUUAAAGUGGUACGCGAGCUGGGUUUAGAACGUCGUGAGACAGUUCGGUCCCUAUCUGCCGUGGGCGCUGGAGAACUGAGGGGGGCUGCUCCUAGUACGAGAGGACCGGAGUGGACGCAUCACUGGUGUUCGGGUUGUCAUGCCAAUGGCACUGCCCGGUAGCUAAAUGCGGAAGAGAUAAGUGCUGAAAGCAUCUAAGCACGAAACUUGCCCCGAGAUGAGUUCUCCCUGACUCCUUGAGAGUCCUGAAGGAACGUUGAAGACGACGACGUUGAUAGGCCGGGUGUGUAAGCGCAGCGAUGCGUUGAGCUAACCGGUACUAAUGAACCGUGAGGCUUAACCUUACAACGCCGAAGCUGUU